UCAGGACGAACGCUGGCGGCGUGCCUAAUACAUGCAAGUCGUACGCUUCUUUUUCCACCGGAGCUUGCUCCACCGGAAAAAGAGGAGUGGCGAACGGGUGAGUAACACGUGGGUAACCUGCCCAUCAGAAGGGGAUAACACUUGGAAACAGGUGCUAAUACCGUAUAACAAUCGAAACCGCAUGGUUUUGAUUUGAAAGGCGCUUUCGGGUGUCGCUGAUGGAUGGACCCGCGGUGCAUUAGCUAGUUGGUGAGGUAACGGCUCACCAAGGCCACGAUGCAUAGCCGACCUGAGAGGGUGAUCGGCCACAUUGGGACUGAGACACGGCCCAAACUCCUACGGGAGGCAGCAGUAGGGAAUCUUCGGCAAUGGACGAAAGUCUGACCGAGCAACGCCGCGUGAGUGAAGAAGGUUUUCGGAUCGUAAAACUCUGUUGUUAGAGAAGAAUAAGGAUGAGAGUAACUGUUCAUCCCUUGACGGUAUCUAACCAGAAAGCCACGGCUAA
rnacentral:rRNA from 1 species